GAGCCGCCUGGGAGCAGGGAGGGUUCUGCUACCCUGAGGGGCCCUCCCCGCGGGGCAGAGGAGGCUGUUGGGAAGGUGGGAUGACCUAGGAUUGACCUUGGACUUGACAUCACAGAAGCCAUUUCAACCUUCACAGGGUUUCCUCAGCAGUGCCCCGGAGCAGGGACCGCGCCAGCCAGCAGAAACAGCUAGUUGUUGUCUGCAGUGAAGAAUAAUUGGAAGCAUGGUGCCUGUUUCUUUUCCUAGGAGUGUUCCACUGACUGACCUCUUUUUGUUUUCAAAUGAAGAGGAGCCAAGAAUAGGACAGCUUGGGAAGCUCAUCCUCGUCUACGGCCAAACGUUGGUUUCUCAUUUCUAGAAGAUGAAAGAUGUGAUGACUCAGGAAAAACUUGCUGCUCGAGAUGUGAGUCUUCAGAUGUUCCUGCCGCCAUAUCUGACAGCUGCUGCCAAGAUUCCCUGGUGGGAUGGACUCUUAUACCUCAACAACCAGAAGCCCAAGUAAACUCUUCUAUAAAUUGAAUGACUCAUGCUUAAAAAAAAAAACAAAAAACAAACUA
rnacentral:lncRNA from 1 species